UUGAAUUCAGCAUCCCACUAAUGUUAAUCCAUGCAGUGCUUAGUAAUUUGCAUUUUUGUGUUAACUAUAAUGUUUGGCAGAGAAAGAAAGUAUGAAAAGAAAUGGACAGGCAGAUAUUCAGUGUUUGUUUUUUUUGGCCAAAAAGACGCAGAGCCAGCCAGUGAAAAUGACUCAGAGCAUCAGGGAGCAACCAAGACCAGCGCAGCUCUAACCCCUCUUCACCAGCUGCAAACUUGGAGGACUCAGACUAGGAUGAAGACAGCCAGAGCGAGGUCAGUCCGGGUGACUUUCAUCCAUCGUCUCCAGAACCAUCAGAGUCAUCAAGCAGUUAUUCUGCUGCUGCAGGACCUGAUGACAUGCAGAGCAGAGGAUCCUGUGCAGCCGUCAGAGAACGAUCCUGCCCCGCUGGGACCUGAUGUUACGCAUGUUUUCAUCCUGUAA